GAUGAACGCUGGCGGCGUGCCUAACACAUGCAAGUCGAGCGGACAGACGGGGAGCUUGCUCCUCUGCCGUUAGCGGCGGACGGGUGAGUAACACGUAGAUAACCUACCUAUAAGUCUGGGGUAACUACGGGGAAACGGAGACAAUACCGGAUCAUAUAUUGAACCGCAUGGAUCAAUAGAGCUAGAGGGUUUUGCUGACACUUAUAGAUGGUUCCGCGUCGGAUUAGCUAGUUGGUAAGGUAACGGCUUACCAAGGCUACGAUGCGUAGCCGACCUGAGAGGAUGAUCAGCCACACUGGAACUGAGACACGGUCCAGACUCCUACGGGAGGCAGCAGUGGGGAAUCUUCCGCAAUGGGCGAAAGCUUGACCGAGCAACGCCGCGUGAGUGAAGAAGGUCUUCGGAUUGUAAAGCUCUUUUAUUAGGGAAGAACAGAAGUAUGUGUAACUAUGGACGUCUUGACGGUACCUAAACAAAAAGCCACGGCUAACUUCGUG
rnacentral:rRNA from 1 species